CCUACGGGUGGCACCAGUGGGGAAUAUUGCACAAUGGGCGCAAGCCUGAUGCAGCCAUGCCGCGUGUGUGAAGAAGGCCUUCGGGUUGUAAAGCACUUUCAGCGGGGAGGAAGGCGAUAAGGUUAAUAACCUUGUCGAUUGACGUUACCCGCAGAAGAAGCACCGGCUAACUCCGUGCCAGCAGCCGCGGUAAUACGGAGGGUGCAAGCGUUAAUCGGAAUUACUGGGCGUAAAGCGCACGCAGGCGGUCUGUCAAGUCGGAUGUGAAGUCCCCGGGCUCAACCUGGGAACUGCAUUCGAAACUGGCAGGCUAGAGUCUUGUAGAGGGGGGUAGAAUUCCAGGUGUAGCGGUGAGAUGCGUAGAGAUCUGGAGGAAUACCGGUGGUGAAGGCGGCCCCCUGGACGAAGACUGACGCUCAGGUGCGAAAGCGUGGGGAGCAAACAGGAUUAGAUACCCGGGUAGUC
rnacentral:rRNA from 1 species